CUUCAGCUAUGGGAGAAGUGGGAGGUCCCUCUCAACUUGACUGAGAUCCACAGUUGAAGGAAUUGGGCGAGGCAGCCUUGAUGUCAGGGGCAGGUGCACAAUAGAGCAGCUGUCUCAGAGGAAUGUGGGAAACCAAGGGGGUGGGGUGCACCCUAAACUCAGUGCAUGGCGGCUACACCCCAUGUUCCCUGCAGGCUGCGCUAAGCAAGGCCUCUGAGAGGAGUAGCUGACCCUGCCUGAACCAAGUCAGACGGGACCCUGUACCAGGGAGAAUCUGCAGGGGUGGCAGGUAGUGACAUCCCAGGCAGAUCCCUCUGUCCAUUGGAGAAGAGCCUCUGAGCUCGCUUUCUCAGUCCUAUGGAUCAGAGCAUUUAGCUGGGACAGCCUCCUCUCGCCCUGACCCUGCCAUGAGCCUCAACUUCUUUUGUGUGACUCUUUGUUUCCUGGGAGCAGGCCCCAUGGAUGCUGCAAUCACCCAGAAGCCGAGAUACCAUAUUAUACAAAGAAGACAGGAGAUGAUCCUGGAAUGUUCUCAGAAUAUGAACCGUUUGUCAAUGUUCUGGUAUCGACAAGACCCAAGGCAGGGGCCAAGGCUGAUCCAUUAUUCAAGUGGUGUCGGAAGGACUGCGAAAGGGGAUAUCUCAGAAGGGUACAGCGUCUCCCGAAACAAGACGGAGGAUUUCUCCUUGACCCUGGAGUCGGCCAGCAUCAACCAGACUUCCCUGUACCUCUGUGCCAGCAGUGAAUCCACAGCGCUGCACAGCCAGCUGCCCUCUGCACAAAAAUGGCAGCCACACUCCUUCCUGAGGCCCCUGUCUCACCAGGGGAAAAACUGCCUCUAUGAAGUUCUCAGCAUACUUCCCAGCAAGCGGAUCUCUGUCUGA